GGGGAAUAUUGGACAAUGGGCGAAAGCCUGAUCCAGCCAUGCCGCGUGUGUGAAGAAGGUCUUCGGAUUGUAAAGCACUUUAAGUUGGGAGGAAGGGCCAUUACCUAAUACGUGAUGGUUUUGACGUUACCGACAGAAUAAGCACCGGCUAACUCUGUGCCAGCAGCCGCGGUAAUACAGAGGGUGCAAGCGUUAAUCGGAAUUACUGGGCGUAAAGCGCGCGUAGGUGGUUUGUUAAGUUGGAUGUGAAAUCCCCGGGCUCAACCUGGGAACUGCAUUCAAAACUGACUGACUAGAGUAUGGUAGAGGGUGGUGGAAUUUCCUGUGUAGCGGUGAAAUGCGUAGAUAUAGGAAGGAACACCAGUGGCGAAGGCGACCACCUGGACUGAUACUGACACUGAGGUGCGAAAGCGUGGGGAGCAAAC
rnacentral:rRNA from 1 species